rnacentral:rRNA from 1 species
UACGUAGGGGGCGAGCGUUGUCCGGAAUUAUUGGGCGUAAAGGGUUCGCAGGCGGCCAAAUAAGUCAGAUGUGAAAUCCCACGGCUUAACCGUGGUAAGCAUUUGAAACUGUAUGGCUUGAGUUAAGGAGAGGAAAGUGGAAUUCCUAGUGUAGCGGUGAAAUGCGUAGAUAUUAGGAAGAAUACCAGUGGCGAAGGCGACUUUCUGGACUUAUACUGACGCUGAGGAACGAAAGCGUGGGGAGCAAACAGGAUUAGAUACCCUGGUAGUCCACGCCGUAAACGAUGAGUGCUAGGUGUCGGGUGUCAAAGCUCGGUGCCGGAGCUAACGCAUUAAGCACUCCGCCUGGGGAGUACGUACGCAAGUAUGAA